UCCAGACCUCUAGCCUGUUUGAAGCUGUGUGCGUUAAUUAUUUCAAUUUUUUUUUACUAGUGUGUUAAGCCAAAGGUGUGUUUGUGUGGGGGUGUGUGUGAGUGUGGGUGUGUGUGUGUUUUAUUAAACUUUUGGCACCUCAGUGUGCUUUCUGUGAAGGGGUGUCUAAAACCUGCCAACUUUGAACUCUGAACCCCUUUAGAGUCUUUCAGUUAAAACUGUGAAAUGUCUAGCCUGAGACGUAUUCUGUCUCCAACCCUCCUCCCUUCCAGAAAAGAAAGAAAGAACAAGGAACCAAUUGACAUUUUAUAGGAGGGAUUUGACUGAUCAGACCAGCAGUAAAGACUUCAAAGUUUUCUUUUCAAUUUUUAUUUUUUUUACUCCUCUUCAUCAGAAACAAUGGGGUGGUCCUAAACUGGGAGAAGGGGUGUGUGUGUGUGUCUAUGUGUAUGUGUGAUCAUGCAUGUGUGUUCAUAUAUACAUGAGUGUGAAUGUGUGUGUGCGAUCAUGCGUGCGUGUGUUUAUAUAUGUGUGUGUGUGAGUGUGUGUGUGAGGGGGCGACUGCAUCCUAGGAGAGGGUAUAAGUUACAAAUGAAGCAGACUUAUAUGGCGCGUGAGUGAAGUUUACCAGGAGUCACGGACGCAUGGCUUCAUUAAGAUCAAAGUCCACGGCUGAGAGCGGCAAUACAGUUUGAACAAUAUCAGUCAGAUGGGCUGGGAUUCUGCUGGUCCCAGUCGUUGUGUUUCCUAAUGAUCAUGGAUUCUAAUUCUGCAGUAAAAAGCAGCUUGGGGUAGGUCUUUGUUGUGAGCAGGGUCUGGUAAAACACAUGGAAGUCUGUCAAGUGUGGGGCUGCCACAGACGGGAUUCUGGAAACCGCACUCGACUUCUAGCCCAGGAUUCAGCUAAAAUGGCCGACAGUCUUCUGACGAGUAACAUUCAGAGUUCAACCGGAUUUUCUCCCUAAACAUUUGGACUGAUGUUUGUUGUCCCGGUGUGGAACUCACAGCUCGGUGACGUUUCUGGGGAUCCCUUUGGGAAGCACGCGGAGGUGUUUGUUACUGCAGCGCACCACCGUCUCCAGACAGUGUGGACAGUGUCUGAAGAGUGUCGAAGGCUCCCGGAGUGAUGGUGGUCAGCUGGUUGUCAUAAAGAGACAGCAGACGAACGUUGUACAGCCCGGUGAAACUGUUAUUAUGGAUACAGCUGAUCUUGUUGUUCCUCAACAU